rnacentral:rRNA from 1 species
GACGAACGCUGGCGGCGUGCUUAACACAUGCAAGUCGAACGGAAAGGCCCUGCUUGCCGGGUACUCGAGUGGCGAACGGGUGAGUAACACGUGGGUGAUCUGCCCUGCACUUCGGGAUAAGCCUGGGAAACUGGGUCUAAUACCGGAUAGGAGCCAUUUUUAGUGUGAUGGUUGGAAAGUUUUUUCGGUGUAGGAUGAGCUCGCGGCCUAUCAGCUUGUUGGUGGGGUAAUGGCCUACCAAGGCGGCGACGGGUAGCCGGCCUGAGAGGGUGGACGGCCACAUUGGGACUGAGAUACGGCCCAGACUCCUACGGGAGGCAGCAGUGGGGAAUAUUGCACGAUGGGCGCAAGCCUGAUGCAGCGACGCCGCGUGGGGGAUGACGGCCUUCGGGUUGUAAACUCCUUUCGCUAGGGACGAAGCUUUUUGUGACGGUACCUAGAUAAGAAGCACCGGCUAACUACGUG